ACCUGGCUGGCUCAGUCGGAGGAGCAUGGGACUCUUGAUCUCAGGGUCAUGAGUUCGAGCCCCAUGUUGGGUG
rfam:Ailuropoda melanoleuca scaffold1463_65, whole genome shotgun sequence.